CUGGUUGACAGAGAACGAUAAGGACACCGACUUGUCAAUUAAUGGAUUUGGGGCACCAUAUCGACUUGAUCGAGAGAGAGAGUGCUGUAUCUCGUUGGGGGUGGGGGGGGCAGCUGCAGACUUCCCCCCCAGCUGAGGAAAUGGCCCUUGAUUUGAACCAAGGAAGGCCUGUGAUGGAAGGAUCUGUAUGUAACAGGACCCAGACGCAGUACAGUAUGACAGCCAGCCUGGCAACAUACUCCAAACUGACAAGUGACAGCACUAAAAU